CUGUAUAUCAUCACUGCCACCGCUUUCCAAAUAUUAGUGAACAACAACUCCCCCUUCAAGCCUAUUACCGAUACCACCAUCAUUACUUCAGAGGGAGUACUUCCUGGAGCUGGAGAAGACCCACCCACUAUUGUAAUUAUGGUCCAUUAUGACUCAUUUGGUCUUGCUCCUUGGCUGGCGUAUGGUGCAGACUCUAAUGGCAGUGGCAUCACCGUUCUCCUCGAGCUGGUUCGACUCUUUCAUCACCUCUACAGCGACUCACGAAGCCAGGCUCCAUUAGUUCUUUCUGUAUUUAAUAAACUAAAAUGUUUGUGUUGGGAAAAUAAUUGAAAAACUGGCAACACGAACCCAAUAGCUUGUAUUAACUGAUACAUAUUCAUCAUAAGAAUUUACUUUUGGAUUCUUUUUCUUUUUGCAUUAUUUUUCAUCAACAUCUUUUAGAUACCACCUUUUAUUCUCCCUGACUGGUGGUGGUAAAUAUAACUUCCUGGGCACCAAGCGUUGGCUGGAGGAAAAUAUGGACCAGGCAGAAUCCAGCCUUUUGCAUGACAACGUGGCGUUCGUUCUAUGUCUGGACUCUCUUGGCACUGGAGACGAGAUUUUCCUGCAUGUCUUGCAACCGCUUAAGCCUGGAACGCCUCAGUACAGCUUCAUUCAGCAGCU